AGAGUUUGAUCCUGGCUCAGAUUGAACGCUGGCGGCAUGCCUUACACAUGCAAGUCGAACGCGAAAGCGGGGGCAACCCUGCAAGUAGAGUGGCGAACGGGUGAGUAAUACAUCGGAACGUGCCCAGGAGUGGGGGACAACCUCGAGAAAUCGAGGCUAAUACCGCAUACGUCCUGAGGGAGAAAGCGGGGGACCGGUAACGGCCUCGCGCUCAUGGAGCGGCCGAUGUCGGAUUAGCUAGUUGGUGGGGUAAAGGCCUACCAAGGCGACGAUCUGUAGCUGGUCUGAGAGGACGACCAGCCACACUGGAACUGAGACACGGUCCAGACUCCUACGGGAGGCAGCAGUGGGGAAUUUUGGACAAUGGGCGCAAGCCUGAUCCAGCAAUGCCGCGUGCAGGAUGAAGGCCUUCGGGUUGUAAACUGCUUUUGUACGGAGCGAAAAGGCUCUCUCUAAUACAGGGGGCUCAUGACGGUACCGUAAGAAUAAGCACCGGCUAACUACGUGCCAGCAGCCGCGGUAAUACGUAGGGUGCAAGCGUUAAUCGGAAUUACUGGGCGUAAAGCGUGCGCAGGCGGUUUUGUAAGACAGAUGUGAAAUCCCCGGGCUUAACCUGGGACCUGCAUUUGUGACUGCAAAGCUGGAGUACGGCAGAGGGGGAUGGAAUUCCGCGUGUAGCAGUGAAAUGCGUAGAUAUGCGGAGGAACACCGAUGGCGAAAGGCAAUCCCCUGGGAUAAUAUUGACGCUCAUGCACGAAAGCGUGGGGAGCAAACAGGAUUAGAUACCCUGGUAGUCCACGCCGUAAACGAUGAGUGCUAGGUGUUGCGGGUAUUGACCCCUGCGGCGCCGAAGCUAACGCAUUAAGCAC
rnacentral:rRNA from 1 species